GAUAUUGCAUUAUCUAAAAUUAUCGACCUCUUCCAAAACUCUUCUAGUGCUUCUAGGGAAUACUAUAUAUCAUCUGAGCAUCAUAUCAUCAUAGCAUUUCCUUUUGAAACAUGGACCUUGUCUCUAACUCAUCCGUAAUAUUUUGUUCUAUACCUUAUUCGUCAGGUGUUUGAAAUUAAACAAACAAAAAAUAGGAAGAAAAAAUUUAUAUUGGCCUUGAUAACGAAUCUUCUCGAAAUCGAUAUAGUACUGUUUUACUAUGCUGCUUUCGAAUGGUGGUACGGGGCUAGGGAAUCAUCCCUUCAAAGGAUCAAUAGGGAAGCGGCUUCAGUAAGAGGAUAUAAUCGAUUGCGUUGGGAAAGGUUUUUCGAAGGAACGUCCAACGGUUCAUACGGAUCAUGGGUCAAAGUUGAAUUUUUGCUCUAAUAAGGGAACGUUCCUUCGUAGAAAAGUAAGUUUCCUCGCCGAUUCUCUUUGGAUUCUAUUUUUUUGCAACUUCAGAAGGAUUCAAUGCAGUCGGGAAGGGUAAAUAAAAAUCAGUAAUAACGUUGACCGUAUUUUUGGAUAUCGAACUAAUAUUAAUUUCGGCAAUUAGUUAGAAAAUUAUAUAUAUCGUAAUAAUAUUUAUUUCAAUUUCGAGAUUAGGAACGAUAAGGAAAACCUUAGGGCGAUUAAUAGUGAUUCCGAAAAAGAUGUUCUGCGAAUCAUUAUUGAAGAAGAAGAAGAGGAUGAAGAUGAAGAAGGAGAUACAGGGGAUGAAGUAGUAGAGGAGAUAUACUAAACCAACCGAAGACGAAAACAGUUCCGAUAGCCUGGAGGUAUUGCAAAGGAGCCGAAUUGAUUUAUAUUUGAAUUGUAAUUCCAAAAAAGAUAAAAAAAUUUCAACAACGCUCCACCAGAUAAUAUAACAUUGCACAUCCAAAGUGAAAAGCAAUCACAUUGAUUCUAUCUAUUCUUACGUACAUACGACGAUACGAUUGUACAACAUGGAUAGUACAAAUGCCAGAAAAACAAUAAGAUUACUAUAUGAACACAUUUUCCUUUUUAAAAUUGCUUAUAAAUGGAAAAACAAUCAACGCUGUGUUUAUUUAAUGAUAAGAUAUUUUAGAGAUAUGAUAAAUUUUUUAUUCUAAAAUGUAAUGUCGAAUAUAAAGUCUAUAACAUAUUUAUUUAUUUUAUAAUAAUUUAUUGAAUAUUUUCGUAGAUUAUAUGCAGUCGAAGAAAGUAUUAUUAUUUAUAAGUGAAUUUAUCUCAUAUAUUCUAAAUGGUACGAAUCCCAAAUGGGAGUAAUUAUCCGAUAAGUACUAUAAUAUGGAAAUGAAAUCUUUUAAUAAAUCUUAUACAAAUAUAAUGUCAAAUUUAAUGAAUAUUAAUGGAAUAAUAGAAUGAUUAGUGAUAAAGAUGAUAGCUAGGGAUUAUUUCGCGUAUGAGACACACUUGCGUAUUACUGGGUCGCAAAUCCCGGAAGGAAUGACUUAACCUAGUUUAAUUAGCCACAUGUUAGCUGGAUAGAAGACCAAGCUUCCUAAAAUCUAAUUAUCUAACUAGAACGCAUGGGGAUAAAUAAUUUCCCCACUCCUAUAGUUAUGUAAUUAUAUGUAUAUAUACUCUAUGUUCAUGCGAAAUUAUCUGUGUAAUAUAUCAUGGAAUUUCCUAAUGAGAAUCUUACAAUAAUUCGUCUAUUUUUUAAUUGAAAUAAUCACAUAAAACUGUAAUUAUUUAUAAUAUAAUUAAUUAUUAUAAUAAUAAUUAUUGUAAUUAUGAAGACUAAUUCUUAUGAAGUUAAUCGGAUAUUAAUAUAGGAAAUUCGCACUGUUAUUUUUUUUGUAAGUCUGACUUAUGCUUAAUAGUAUUCUAUUAUCAGUAUUCUAUUAUUCAUAAUGAUAUUAUGGAUAUUAUAGUAUUCUAUUACCAGUAUUCUAUUAUUCCUAAUGAUUCUAUAUAGUAUUCUAUUAUUCAUAAUGAUAUCACUAUAAAUUUUCGUGCUACGUAUAUACUAUGUAAUUCUUAUAGUAAAAUCAUCUCUCUUAAAAAAUUUUUUCGUCGGAAGUUAUAUCUACUGCCAUAUUGCAUGAAAACAUUUUCUCCAAAUAUUAUUUCCUUUUCUUGUAAACAAAUGCAUAUUGCUCAAGUUAUCGAAGAUAGCAUUUUCGCUAUUCCAUAAUAAUAAAAAACGAAUUCGGAGAAAAUCUUUCGUCACAUUUAUGGUUUCCUAAUAUUACCUUCCCCUCUUUACCGUAUUUUCCCUUCGAGAGAACCACUCGGUUAGUUAAUCAAGAAAUGGUCAAAUUACCAAGUUAUAUGAAAAGAAUGUCAGUCGAUUUUAUGAAAAAGAAGUACGUUCACAACGGUCUGAGGGCUUCUAUAAACCACUUAAAGAGAGAGAUAAGGACUUGUCUGCAAUUGUACGCGAGUACGCUUCGUACGAUGCAAUGAUAUUUGAUGGAGUAAACAAGCAAUCAUGAAACUGAGGGGAGAUUUGCGAAGCUGAACUCGUGUCGUAUUGAAAUUUCUAGUGAAACAGAUAGUUCCCUACACUAAUAAGCCAAAAAAUCAGAAACGUAAUAUUCCUUUGGUAUAUAUCGUUUCGUGAUUUCGUAAUAUACAAUUUCAGUCUUCCAACCUGUUUACUUACUCAUUUCUUUUUCAUUAAGAGAAUGGCAAAAUUUCCAAACACGAGUAAGUUUCGUGCCAUAAGUAAUAUCGAAGGAGAAUUUUGGCUACAAGACAAACAUUAAAACAGACAUCUUAGAAAAAAAAAAUAUUAAUCGGGAAGAAAACGAUAGGAGUGAUAGUCAUUACAUCUAACAAAAAAACGGAAAGACCUCACGG